rnacentral:rRNA from 1 species
UACGUAGGGUGCGAGCGUUAAUCGGAAUUACUGGGCGUAAAGCGCGUGUAGGCGGCUUUGCAAGUCGGGUGUGAAAGCCCUCAGCUCAACUGAGGAAGUGCGCCCGAAACUGCAGAGCUUGAGUACCGGAGAGGAUGGCGGAAUUCCCCAAGUAGAGGUGAAAUUCGUAGAUAUGGGGAGGAACACCAGCGGCGAAGGCGGCUUUCUGGUCCGAUUCUGACGCUGAGGCGCGAAAGCGUGGGGAGCGAUCCGG